rnacentral:lncRNA from 1 species
GCCUAAACUUUUUAUUAUCUGGUCCUUUACAGGAAUAAUUUGCUGACCGCAAAUUUAAUGGAAUCUCUCCUCACCCCCACCCUAGAUUGGGUGGCUAAAAAAUCACAAGGUUUGGCAAAGACACCGAGACACCUGCUGGUGUGGGGAACUGGAGGAAACCCAGGCUCUUGUUCAGCCCAAGUUGCACAUGCUCCUACGGUGGCUCCGGUGGACGAGUGUUGCAAGCACAGCAGCAUUUGAGCUGAAACAAAUAAGUAAAACGUCUAUUUAAUGAGGAUUCAAGCUAUGUAGCCCCAGAGGAAGGAAGUGGGACUUUUAAAAUAAAGAACGUCAUCUAUCCUCUGCCACAGACCGGAACGCCGUGGUGUCUCAGCACCAGCCCAAGCACUUUGGAGAGCUUAUUGAAUCCGAUCCUGAACAGUAGGAGGUAGGUAUGUUAUUUUCCAUUUAUAAGGACUGAAACUGAGGUUCUGAUGGCUGAAGUGACUUGCCCAAUUUGCA